rnacentral:lncRNA from 1 species
CAUAUGAAAUGUCCAGAAUAAGUGAGUCCAUAGAGACAGAAGGCAGAGGAGUGGAUGCCAGGCUCUGAAGGUGGAAGGGAUGGGGAGGAGAUGCCAGUGGGUGUGAGUUUCCUUUUAAGGUGAAGAAAUAAUUCUGAAACUAGACAGUGGAAAUGGUUGGACAAAACUGAAAAUAUACUUAAUGUCACUGAAUCAUACAUUUAGUUAAUAGUUAAAAUAGAUUUAAUAAAGUGUUAAAUAGUUAAAGUGGCAAGUUGUAUGUUAUGUGUAUUGUACUACAAGAAAAGAGCUGUUUGUCUAUAUUCACACACUGGGGACCAAGUUACAUUGCCCUGGGAAGCCAAAGGGCAAGAGCAUACUUCUCCUUUGCUCUUCAUGGCUUUAUGGUCCUGAGGGGUCAGGGCAGCCACCAGCAAGGGCUGUCCUGUUGGAGCCACAGGAGAGCCUUGGCCAGGAUGCCGGCACAGGGAGAAACACAUUGUGCCUACUGGAAAGGCACAGGAUUGGCAGGGCAGGGCGUUGGGAACUGUGGACUCAUUUUCAGGUGCACACAAGACCCCACCCCAAUGGCUUCGAGAAAUGCUGGGGAAGACUUGGAAGCUGGACACUGAGCAGGCACAGAACAGCCAAGGAAAUUUCGGUUAAAAGUAAGACAGUGCUUCACAGUUUGAAGAUACCUUCAUUUAAUAUGAUGAAUUAGCUUUUCAAGACAACUGUAUGGAUAGAUGGUGUUAUUGCCAUGUUAUACAUAUAGAACUCAGUCUCAGAAAGGUUAAGUGACCUUCCCAAGUUUACACAGCCAGUGAAUACCCUGGGCACUUCCCAAAACCUCUUACAUGACAGGAUUAUUUGUAAUGAUGAGGCAACCAAUUUUCUCCUAAGGGUUUGACCACAGAAGACUGCUCACAUGCAGAAAGAUGCGCUCCGUGGCUGUGCUUGUGAGAAGAGGUGGCUCAGGUAUCUCAUUAUUGAGCCUAAAUUGAAGGGUCUGCUUGUUCGGCUCCUGGGAAAGUGUACAGUUGUACCUCAGUCCUACUGCAGGCAAAUCAUUUGUUUAAAGCCUGCUGAUGAGAAAUGUAAAUGUGUGUUUCAAAGAUAAAGAUGCUAAUUUGAGUAUGAGCCACGAGUUAUUAUAAGGAACAGAGAAACAUGGCUGUUAUUAUAAGCAACAGAGUGGUUGCAGGAAGGGAGGUGAGAGGUAUGAAUGGAAGGGAGGUGGAGAAGGGCCAUGGUACAUGUUAUUCAUACCACUAGUUUACCUUGAUGGUAAGAAAAUGCCUCCUCCAUGCUUAGACAUAGGGCGGCAGCAGCUCUGUGCUCAGGCUUGGUGCCAGUUUAAGGAAAGUAACUAGGCAUCAGUUUACCUUGUCCACAGAACUCUGUGACAUAUUGUCUCUAGAGUAUCUCCGGGGUGGCAUCUAAGAUUUCCCCAGCUGGAUUUGUCCCUAACUGGGGGAAGCAACUCCCAGAUCAGCCCCAGUUGUAAAGAAUCAAUGGGCCCAUGGAAAAACCUGUGUUCCCUGAUGUAGCCUUUGCCUCCCUAACUCUGUAUUUAUUGUGUGCUUUUGCUCCCCACUAAGAUCUCUAGAAGAAGAAAAAACAGGAAUCUUGAACAUCCCAAAAGGAGGAAUCUGAAUUAGUAAAUGGAACAUCCACACAUGCCCAUUAGGGAGAAAAAGAGAGUGAGAGAUGUUGUAAGUGAACUAAACCCUCAUACUCCAUAGCAGGAAAUGAACAGAUGAUAUAUCAAGUUAAUAAAAGACAGAGAUAAACUGGAAGUCUUUGGAAAUACGGAGGUAAACUCAUAAAGCCUAAAACCAGAAACGGUUAAAUGUGAUUCUCCUGGGGAGUAAUCCUGAGGGUGGAGAGGAGGAUGGCUGAGAACUUAGCAUGUUUUCAGAAGCCUUGUGGAUUGAAUUGAUUUUUAACCACAUGCAUGUAUUACAUUGAUAAAAAAUUUAAACAAAAAUUAGUUUCAAAACUAUGGCUACAUUUUAUAUUAUAACAGCAAAUUCCUAUGUUUUAGGCACUGUUUUAAGUAUUUG